rnacentral:tRNA from 1 species
GGGUAUAGUUCAGUGGUAGAGUGUGUGCACUUAGCAUGCACAAGGUCCUGGGUUCAAUCUCCAGUACCUCCA